GCAGAGAUUUUUUCUCGUACCUUUCGCAUCAUGGUUUAACAAGCCCCCUUAAGCAAGAAGUCCCUUAGUUUAAAGCCCCGAAACUGGGCGAGCUACUCCAAGGCAGCCUAAAUACUAGGGCACACCCGUCUCUGUGGUAAAAGAGUGGGAAGAACUUUGAGUAGAGGCGAUAAACCUAUCGAGCCCAGUAAUAGCUGGUUCCUUGAGAAAUGAAUAAAAGUUCAGCCCUUAACAACUCCUCCGAAUUUAAAGAGUUAGUUGGAGGGGGGACAGCUCCUCCAAUAAAAGACACAACUUUACACAGGUGGAUAAAGAUCAUAUUCAUUUAAGGCUCGCGUCCAAGUAGGCCUAAAAGCAGCCACCUACAAAAGCGUCAAAGCUUAAGCACUAAAUUAAGACAACCAAAUCUUACCCCCCUAAAAUUAUCAAGGUUCUCUAUGCCCCCAUAGAAAAAAUUAUGUUAAUAUGAGUAAUAAGAGGCGGGCCCCUUCUUUCAUAAGUGUAAAUCAGAUCGGACAACCCACUGAAAAUUAAUGGCCCCAAACCAAGAGAGUACAGGGAUACAUACAAGAAAACCACCCACCAUUAAUCCCACACUGGUAUGAAGCCUAGAAAGACUAAAAGAAGAAAAAGGAACUCGGCAAGCGAGCCUCGCCUGUUUACCAAAAACAUCGCCUCUUGACAAUAUAAGAGGUCCAACCUGCCCAGUGAUGAAAGUUCAACGGCCGCGGUAUCCUGACCGUGCAAAGGUAGCGUAAUCACUUGUCUUUUAAAUGAAGACCUGUAUGAAUGGUUAAACGAGGGCUCAACUGUCUCCUUCUUCCGGUCAAUGAAAUUGAUCUCCCCGUGCAGAAGCGGGGAUAUUGCCAUAAGACGAGAAGACCCUGUGGAGCUUAAGACACCCGGACAGCCCAUGUCAAAACCUCUAAUCACAGUCUGAACAAUCUGACCCCUGUCCCCGUCUUCGGUUGGGGCGACCACGGGAUAAAACAAAACCCCCGCGCAGAAUGAAGAGGCUUUCAAGCCAAAAGAAACACUUUUAAGCAACAGAAUAUUCUGACCAUAUGACCCGGCAUAUCUGACCGAUCAGCGAACCGAGUUACCCCAGGGAUAACAGCGCAAUCCCCUUAUAGAGUCCAUAUCGACAAGGGGGCUUACGACCUCGAUGUUGGAUCAGGACAUCCUAAUGGUGCAG
rnacentral:rRNA from 1 species